rnacentral:rRNA from 1 species
GACGAACGCUGGCGGCGUGCUUAACACAUGCAAGUCGAACGGAAAGGCCCUGCUUUUGUGGGGUGCUCGAGUGGCGAACGGGUGAGUAACACGUGAGUAACCUGCCCUUGACUUUGGGAUAACUUCAGGAAACUGGGGCUAAUACCGGAUAGGAGCUCCUGCUGCAUGGUGGGGGUUGGAAAGUUUCGGCGGUUGGGGAUGGACUCGCGGCUUAUCAGCUUGUUGGUGGGGUAGUGGCUUACCAAGGCUUUGACGGGUAGCCGGCCUGAGAGGGUGACCGGCCACAUUGGGACUGAGAUACGGACCAGAAUCGUACGGGAGGCAGCAGUGGGGAAUAUUGCACAAUGGGCGGAAGCCUGAUGCAGAAACGCCGCGUGCGGGAUGACGGCCUUCGGGUUGUAAACCGCUUUCGCCUGUGACGAAGCGUGAGUGACGGUAAUGGGUAAAGAAGCACCGGCUAACUACGUG